rnacentral:rRNA from 1 species
GACGAAGGUGGCGAGCGUUACUCGGAAUUACUAGGCGUAAAGCGUGGGCAGGCGGUUCGAUCAGUCUGUUGUGAAAGCUCCGGGCUCAACCCGGAGAGGCCAAUGGAUACUGUCGGACUUGGAUAUAGGAGAGGUGACUGGAAUUCCUGGUGUAGCGGUGAAAUGCGUAGAUAUCAGGAGGAACACCGAUGGCGAAAGCAGGUCACUGGACUAUCAUCGACGCUCAUCCACGAAAGCUGGGGGAUCAAACAGG